GACGAACGCUGGCGGCGUGCUUAACACAUGCAAGUCGAACGGAAAGGCCCUGCUUUUGUGGGGUGCUCGAGUGGCGAACGGGUGAGUAACACGUGAGUAACCUGCCCUUUACUUUGGGAUAACUUCAGGAAACUGGUGCUAAUACCGGAUAGGAGCUCCUGCUGCAUGGUGGGGGUUGGAAAUUUUCGGCGGUUGGGGAUGGACUCGCGGCUUAUCAGCUUGUUGGUGGGGUAGUGGCUUACCAAGGCUUUGAAGGGUAGCCGGCAUGAGAGGGUGAACGGCCACAUUGGGACUGAGAUACGGCCCAGACUCGUACAGGAGGCAGCAGUGGGGAAUAUUGCACAAUGGGGGGAAGCCUGAUGCAGCAACGCCGCGAGCGGGAUGAAGGCCAUGGGGUUGUAAACCGCAUUAGCCUGUGACGAAGCGUGAGUGACGGUAAUGGGUAAAGAAGCACCGGCUAACUACGUG
rnacentral:rRNA from 1 species